rnacentral:rRNA from 1 species
AUUGAACGCUGGCGGCAUGCCUUACACAUGCAAGUCGAACGAUAACAGGUCUUCGGAUGCUGACGAGUGGCGAACGGGUGAGUAAUGCAUCGGAACGUGCCCAGUCGUGGGGGAUAACUGCUCGAAAGAGCAGCUAAUACCGCAUACGACCUGAGGGUGAAAGCGGGGUACCGAAAGGCCUCGCGCGAUUGGAGCGGCCGAUGUCAGAUUAGGUAGUUGGUGAGGUAAAGGCUCACCAAGCCGACGAUCUGUAGCUGGUCUGAGAGGACGACCAGCCACACUGGGACUGAGACACGGCCCAGACUCCUACGGGAGGCAGCAGUGGGGAAUUUUGGACAAUGGACGCAAGUCUGAUCCAGCCACGCCGCGUGCGGGAAGAAGGCCUUCGGGUUGUAAACCGCUUUUGUCAGGGAAGAAACGGUCUGAACUAAUACUUUGGACUAAUGACGGUACCUGAAGAAUAAGCACCGGCUAACUACGCGCCAGCCGCCGCAGUAAAAC